UAGGGAAUCUUCGGCAAUGGACGAAAGUCUGACCGAGCAACGCCGCGUGAGUGAAGAAGGUUUUCGGAUCGUAAAACUCUGUUGUUAGAGAAGAACAAGGACGUUAGUAACUGAACGUCCCCUGACGGUAUCUAACCAGAAAGCCACGGCUAACUACGUGCCAGCAGCCGCGGUAAUACGUAGGUGGCAAGCGUUGUCCGGAUUUAUUGGGCGUAAAGCGAGCGCAGGCGGUUUCUUAAGUCUGAUGUGAAAGCCCCCGGCUCAACCGGGGAGGGUCAUUGGAAACUGGUAGACUUUAGUGCCGAAGAGGAGAGUUCAAUUCCAUGUGUAGCGGUGAAAUGCGUAGAUAUAUGGCGGAACACCAGUGGCGAAGGCGGCUCUCUGGUCUGUAACUUACGCUGAGGCUCGAAAGCGUGGGGAGCAAACAGG
rnacentral:rRNA from 1 species